rnacentral:rRNA from 1 species
GACGGGGGAUGCAAGCGUUAUCCGGAAUCACUGGGCGUAAAGCGUCUGUAGGUGGUGAUGUAAGUCAAUGGUGCAAAACUCUGGCUCAACCGGAGGAAAGCCAGUGAAACUGCAUGAGUAGAGUGUGGAAGAGGUAGAAGGAAUUCCCUGAGUAGCGGUGAAAUGCGUAGAUACAGGGAAGAAAACCGGAGGCGAAAGCGUUCUACUGGAACACAACCGACACUGAGAGACGAAAGCUAGGGGAGCGAAUGGG